UUGGCAGAAAUUGGAUGCCAAAUCUUAGUGGGGCCCGCCCCCUCUUAUGUGGCAUGGCAUGGAGCAGAGAGAGGUGGGGCCACAUCCCAUUCUUAUUUGGAUAGAAACCCUAUUGUGGGAUGCCAAGAGUUGGCACCCCAACUACCUAACAUAUAUUAGAUGGAUGCCUCUUGUACCUGCUUAAAGAAACUGAUCAUAUAUCAUUUAUAUCUGAUUUUAAUUAGAAUAAAUCAGAUUAAAAAUAUAAAAAAAUUUAUGAGAUAAAGAUCUACCUUUUUAAGAU
rnacentral:lncRNA from 1 species